rnacentral:rRNA from 1 species
UACGGAGGGUGCAAGCGUUAUCCGGAUUCACUGGGUUUAAAGGGAGCGUAGGCGGAUUGGUAAGUCAGUGGUGAAAGCCCCGAGCUCAACUUGGGAAUUGCCAUUGAUACUGCUGAUCUUGAGUACGGUUGAAGUGGGCGGAAUGUGACAUGUAGCGGUGAAAUGCUUAGAUAUGUCACAGAACACCGAUUGCGUAGGCAGCUCACUAAGCCGUAACUGACGCUGAGGCUCGAAAGCGUGGGGAUCAAACAGG